UACGUAGGGGGCGAGCGUUGUCCGGAUUUAUUGGGCGUAAAGAGCUCGUAGGCGGUUUGGCAAGUCGGGUGUGAAAACUCCGGGCUCAACUCGGAGACGCCACUCGAUACUGCCACGACUCGAGUCCGGUAGGGGAGUGCGGAAUUCCUGGUGUAGCGGUGAAAUGCGCAGAUAUCAGGAGGAACACCGGUGGCGAAGGCGGCACUCUGGGCCGGUACUGACGCUGAGGUGCGAAAGCGUGGGGAGCAAACAGG
rnacentral:rRNA from 1 species